GUUAUCCUCCUAGCUUCUUAAUCCUUUACAGGUGCAAGGGUUUUUCCUCUGGCCAGGAGGGAUUUUAAAGGUGUUUACCCUUCCCUUUAUAUUUAUGACAGGAGCACAGAGGGAGAUGAUUCUGUGAAAAAGGUUUAGGAGGAGUGUAUGUAGCAAGGGUAGGGGAAGAAUUGUGCGGUACUUUGAAAUCUUCAGUCUGAGGGUCUCAAAUGGGUUUAGCAGAUGGGAUUUUCCAAAGUACUUAGCAUUGACCUAACUUUAUUUCCAUUGAAGUCAGUGAUAAAAUGCCAUUAACCUCAAUGGGAAUAGAGGUAGGCCACUGUUGAGUGCUUUUAAAAAUCCACUCUAUUAAUAUUAAUAAAUUAAGCCUUCAAAGUCCUAUGUUACUGGAGGUGAAACUGAGGCACAGAAAGAUUAUACAUGACUAGACCGAGAUCACACAGAAAGUCUAUUGCAGAGCUAAGACUAGAACCCAAAACACCUGAAUUCCAGUCCUGUGCUUUUAGCCAUAAGAGCAUCUUUCUCCUCUAUGCAACCUCAAAAUAGCAAUUACACACCAUUACUCUGUAAUGCAUGCAAAAACCCCAUUAAGUCAUUAACACGAGACUCUCCAACCUACAGUAAUAAAGCCAUAUUUAAAGUUUUCCAGCACUGAUGUAUGAAUAAGUGGUUCCUCUCUGCAAAUGGCGGUCUUAUGAAGCUAAUAAAACCUUAUAGGCAAGUAACCCUUUUGCAGAGAGAUAUUGCUUUUCUACCCUGCUUCUGAAUAGGUUAAUCCCCCACAGAAUGGUAUUAAUAAACACAUACCAGCUACCCCAAACCACUCACUUCUCCACCCUGUCUCAUGAAGAAAUUUAUGAUGCGUCAGCAUGAGUGUGCAUUGUGCAACACAAAGCAAUUCAGAGAAGUAAAUCUGCACAGGAUUAGUCAUCAUCAGCUAUUUGGGAGCACUCUGAUACUGAAUGCUGAACUGAACUUCCUUUCCAAGGCAAGUCAAAAAUAGAGAACUGGUUUUAAUUUUGAUGUCUACUUUAAGCAGGAGUUACUGACUGCUGUCACCUGUUAGAUCUCACAUCUUUACCAAAUGCUAAAGCUAAGCAUCAAAGUCCAUUUGGUCCAUAUAUACUACUAAUUCUAAAACAACACUUGCUCCUGUGUGGAUAUUGGUGGUGCAGUGACCCAGUGCAUCAGCCUUUUGACUCUAGACACUUGAGCUCUAGAGUGUAAACAUAGGCUUCCUAGGGGAUGUGCUGAAUCAGUAUGGUCUCUGGGCAUCCUGGUCAUGACCCCGCCCUGGCUAAUGCUGCCUGCUAUUGGCCAGCUACAGAAGUCCAUGAGCUGCCUCUAGUUGGGCUAACAGCAAUUUCACUUUGAAGUGCAACUAGAGAGUAAGAAGAAAAAUGAGUGGGAAGAGGCCAGAGACAACAGAGGAAGGAAAACCAGACAAUCAGCAGAAGAGUUACUGCUGUACUCCGCCCCUUCCAUGAAUUCUCUCAUCAGUAUUACCCACUCUGCGUGACACACAAGCCCCAAUCAUUGCAAAUGAUUUUUAAAAAAAAUCUCUGCUUGGCUCCCACACUCUGACCAUGUGUGCCAGGCAAAUCACAGAGGGUGGCUAGUAAUGUGGGGGGAAAGAAUGGACCAAUGGUAAGAAGUACUGCCAUAAUACUGGUGAAGAAGGAGAGAAUGGAGCAGAAGGGGGAAAAUAUAGGAGGAAAACUCCAAAUUUCCCUCCAGUCCUGCAGCCUUUGGGGGUGUCCAUCCUAUGCUCCAUGUAUGAAUGCUACAAAGCCAGCGGGCUACUCUGGCAUCAUUGAUAGUCUUGGCUAAAAUAGCAUAAAAAGGGGUGUGGAGGGGUCACAUUCCUCUGCCCUAGUUAUUAUAUGAAAGUGAUAGAGGAUGGCAAAAAGGCAAUAAUUCUCAGGAAAAAUUGAUCAGCAAGUUGACCGAGUACUGACAAACUCGUUGCUGAUGUGAUUCUUUGUGAUCCCUGAAAGAAGAGCUUUUAGAGCAGAUGGAUGGAGACAGGGGCUCCCUCAUCCUCCUUGUAUUUCCUUCCAUGGCGCUGAUUAGGAUACUAAAGAGAAGCAGCUAUUUUGGCACGCAUACUAGUGUGGAUGUGAAGGAUUGUGGCAAAUUUGGUAGCAGGAAUACAAAACUACUUACCUUGUAUGACUAGUGGGUGCAUGUGUCUCUCUCUCUCUGUUUUGUGCCUGGCUGUUUACCUGGCUCUUCUUUCUUGUAUUUCUUCCUUCUUUGUAAGAUGGCUAGGAAAGCUUCAUGGUGCAAUGGUAAAGUUGUCCUACAACAGCCAGAAGGGGAUUAAUACUUGGGCUAGACACCUACAAUGAGGGGUGUGGGGAUUUUAAGAUCAGGAGUUUACUACUAGAUUUAUACUGCAUCCAUGUUAGUGUUCCUUUAAUGAAACUAGGCCUGUUGGGAUAGCUGGUUGAGAAAUAACAGCUUGUUGGUCCUUGUUAGCUCAGCUGGGCUAGAAAUGUUUACAAAGUGUAGCAUCAGCUGGAAAUACUGCUGCUGCUAGUUGGAAGUGCUUUUCAUUGGUUAUUUGCUGUUUGGUUGGCCAAUUAUAAUUUACUUAGCCUGACAAUAUGUUUGGUGUUUUACAAGAGAGAAGGUAAAGACAAAUCUCUGCCUUGAACAGCUAAGAAUAAAAUUGUAAUAACGAUUCAGAUGAGUUGUAUACUCACUUUUAUCCAGCUGCGUUACCCCUCUCACAAAGAGGUUUCCAUAAAUUUAAAUGGCUAGAAAUGUACAUUUAAAUGAAAGGUUGGGUUAAUCUGUGAAUUUAAUGUGCAAACUUUAGGGUGCUUUCUCCUAAACUCUAUCAUUGUUACAACCAGUUCUUUGAGGAAUAUUUUAAUUAACUGACAUGUCACUUGCUCAUCUGCCCUCUUGCCUACCUCAAACCACUGGUGAGGAAUGAACAAGUAGCAGCUAAAGGAUGAUGAGGAAUGCUAUGCUGCUCUUCUGGGGCAAUGCCAGACUCACAGUUGUCUUCCAUAUUCAGUUUCUGGGGAGCACUCUGCCUGGUUACCAACAUUUAAAGAAAAACAAUUUCUAGGGAACAUUCUAACAAAAGUUUGGCUAUCCCAGGGGGAAAGGGAGAAUUCUAUGCUUCUGGUGACUUCUGUGUUCUAAAUAUAACUAUCUUCAGGGCCUCAAAGAGACUGGGGCUCAGACCAGCACUAAGAGCUUCGGAUAUGGAGGCUCCUUGAUCCUCUGUUCCUUAACUACUAGGGUGACCAGAUGUCCCAAUUUUAGGGUCUUUUUCUUAUAUAGGCUCCUAUUACCCCCCACCUCCUGUCCUGAUUUUUCACAUUUGCUAUCUGGUCACCCUACUUAACUACCCCCUUUAUCUCAGUUGCCUUCUGGGGUGGGGGAAGCCCAAUGGCCUGAAACCCUUCCUCUAGAAACUUCAGAGAGGAAAGACAGGUCUAUCACCCCUCUGGAGUCUUCAGGGGCAGAUGCGUCUCUGGGCUUCCUGGUCUUUCUCCUGUUUGUCUCUGUUCUGUGAGUUGGGGAGGUUUGUUUCUUAAUCUUCCAGUGUCCCUUCGGUGUGUUGUCUGUAUAUCCCCCUUCAGUGUUCCUCAUCCCCUGGUAUGUAUGGCCAAGUGUGUUUACUGCCAGUGAUCCUCUUAUGUUCUCCUGUGAGUUUCCUGCAAAACAAUCUGUUCCUCUCCCUUGUGCUCCAUAUCCUCCAAUGGGUCUUCCUUUCUCCAUCUCCAUGAACUGGGAAGGGGUGGGAAAACUGAACUACCAUCUCCCUCAUCACUCAAAACAGGACCCAGGAAACUGUUGUAUCUAUUCCCAGCUCCCCACUGUGGCCCCUAGUGACCAGAAGUCCACUUUGUAAUCUAAUUAGCUAAACCAGCUGCCCUGGACUUCACCUGGGAUUGAGACCACACAAGUUAGUCCUAGGAAAACCAGGAGAGUUGGCAGGUGUGGGCCUGCCUCUUCUGUACAUUAACAGUGGUAUCGUUCUGUGGUAAAUGUUCCCAUAUGGGUUUUCUGUGGGGAAUUUUCUUUUUUUUUUUUAAUGGAGUUAGUUUGUUUUGCAAGAGGCUGUACAAAUCAGCUAGUGGAGAUAUUGAGGACUCACCAAAAAGGAAUCAGUUGCAAUGCAUGGCAAUUAUACACUGGGUAACCCAGAAGAAUGAGUGACAUGAAGAGUGAAGGUGAGAAUAAAUUAUGAGGCCUGCAUAUGAAAAAUGAAAUCUGAGGCACUUCUGACAUUAUCAGACUGCAAGCUUCUUGGGGAAGCAACCUUGUGUCAUACCUGCAAACUGUCAUACAUACAUAUGGUGCUAUCUGAAUAAACUUCCAUUUUGAUAAAUAGCUCAUAUUUAAUUACAAAAGGUCGGUGCUGUGAAAUCUGUUACCAGCAGCCUCUGUAAACUCUGUUCAACCUCUCUCAGCUGCAGAUAAAGUCUAAGUUGCGGUAGGAGGGUUCAUCUUCCAUCCUGGUAAUGCUUUUGGCGAGGAGGGUAACCCACUGUCUAUAUGAGCUGAGGUCAAGUCCCCAGUGUACAGUGCAAAGUGUGGUAGAUCAAACCCCAAACACACCAUAUGGCCCUUCCGUGGAGGAAACAUACCUACCUCUGACAGAUACUCAAGGGAUAGGUCUUCCUGAUACUUUGCUGACACUUGCAUAAUUUGUCAUGCCAAUAAAGUUUCAUUGAAUUUAAAUGAAAAAUGUAUGACUGGCACCUGUGUCUGCAGGACCAGUAACAUCUGAGCUCCUCUGACCAUUUGUUUGAUUCUGUGCCUAGGGAACUUGUGCACAGAUUUGACUUGGAGAAGGUAGGAAACUAAAGAGCUCAAGAAAUAAGCUAUCUGGGUGAAUCAUGAUCAUGGUGGGAGCAUGAGAUCUAGUUAUCCAAGGGUCAGAUUUUGUUAUCCAUACUCACACGGGGUCGUAUCUUACUUCUUGGUUAGUUCCAUUCAUUUCCAAUUGAUUACUCAAGGAAGAAGGUCCUAUUCCAUGUGAGUAAUGGUGGAAGAAUCUGGUCCUAUGAUUUUAUGCCACAUCCCCCCAGCACAGUAUUGUUCUGGUGCUAUCCUGCUUCCAAAGGCUGUUUGUGUCUGACUUCUUGCUCUUUCUCUCCCUUACAUUUCCAAACAACACAGAACAUAAUAUUUUCUACCCUGUCCCUCAUCUCCUCCUUGGCUGUUUUCCUGUUCGUAUUGGAGGGUUUUACCUCUCCUUUUACAGAUUGCUCAAGUUGCAUUGGUCCCCCAGCCACCAGCCUUUUUAAUCUCAGUUUUUCCACAGAUGUAAGAAAUUAAUUUUUUCUUUCGACUCAACACUGACUCACUCAGUGUAAAUGUGAAAUUAAGGGUUUUAUUUAUUUGCAGCCACUAGUUAAUGGAUUUACUCUGAGAGAGAGGUUGGAGGGGGUGGUCACAAGCAGCAGUGAGAGAAACACUAGGAAGCGAGUCCCAGAAGUACAGCUCACACAGCAAAGACUCACACUGAAAGAAUGAACCAGACAGCUGGAUUUUCCCUUUGAUUCAUCUGUCCCUUCUCUUUUGCCUGAUACUCCAGUGCUCAGCUUCCCUUUUUAGACACCCUUGGUUGGCCACCCCUGCUCUGCUGGAUAUGUAAUAUCAGAACUGCCCUUCAGUGGCUCAGAAAAGAUAUACACCAUAAUACUAUGAUUGGCAGUGGAUAUUCUUCUUUAGUUCAAGUCACAGCGGGUAUCUACUUUAGGAGCAGGAGGCCUGGAAUUAUCUCACUGCUGCUGCCUAUGAAAUCUAUGCAUGUGGAGUAGAGCCUGGUGAAAGUUUUCAUCCAAAGCUUUUUCUUCAUCCAAAAUAAAUAAAUAAAUAAAUGAAAAAUGCAGAUUUGCAUUGACUGGCAUUCUGCAGAUUCAUCUAGAAUUUACCAAAUCGUUUAAAAUAAAAAAAAUUCUGAAAA